GGGCACAUGGUGUAGUUGGUUAUCACAUCCGCUUAGCAGUCCUAAACUCUGCGAGUUUGCGGGGGGUGCUGGGUUCAAUUCCCAGUGUGUCCA